AACGAACGCUGGCGGCGCGUUUUAAGCAUGCAAGUCGAACGGUAGAGAGACUUCGGUUUCUUGAGAGUGGCGAACGGGUGAGUAACACGUAGAUGAUCUGCCUUGAAGUUGGGGAUAGCCCAUAGAAAUAUGGGGUAAUACCGAAUAAUUUUUUACCACUGUGGUGGUUUAAGGAAAGGGGCUUCGGCCUCGCUUUAAGAUGAGUCUGCGGCUUAUUAGCUAGUUGGUAGGGUAAGAGCCUACCAAGGCGACGAUAAGUAGCCGGCCUGAGAGGGUGACCGGCCACAUUGGGACUGAGACACGGCCCAAACUCCUACGGGAGGCAGCAGCUAAGAAUCUUCCGCAAUGGGCGAAAGCCUGACGGAGCGACGCCGCGUGGACGAAGAAUGCCGAGAGGUUGUAAAGUCCUUUUAUAUGCGAAGAAUAAU
rnacentral:rRNA from 1 species